rnacentral:rRNA from 1 species
GCUGAGCACUCCUACGGGAGGCAGCAGUGGGGAAUAUUGCACAAUGGGCGCAAGCCUGAUGCAGCCAUGCCGCGUGUAUGAAGAAGGCCUUCGGGUUGUAAAGUACUUUCAGCAGUGAGGAAGGUGGGUAUGUUAAUAGCAUACUCAUUUGACGUUAGCUGCAGAAGAAGCACCGGCUAACUCCGUGCCAGCAGCCGCGGUAAUACGGAGGGUGCGAGCGUUAAUCGGAAUUACUGGGCGUAAAGCGCAUGCAGGUGGUUUGUUAAGUCAGAUGUGAAAGCCCGGGGCUCAACCUCGGAAUUGCAUUUGAAACUGGCAAACUAGAGUACUGUAGAGGGGGUAGAAUUUCAGGUGUAGCGGUGAAAUGCGUAGAGAUCUGAAGGAAUACCGGUGGCGAAGGCGGCCCCCUGGACAGAUACUGACACUCAGAUGCGAAAGCGUGGGGAGCAAACAGGAUUAGAUACCCUGGUAG